rnacentral:rRNA from 1 species
AUUGAACGCUGGCGGCAUGCUUUACACAUGCAAGUCGAACGGUAACAGGUUAAGCUGACGAGUGGCGAACGGGUGAGUAAUGCAUCGGAACGUGCCCGGUCGUGGGGGAUAACGCAGCGAAAGCUGCGCUAAUACCGCAUACGAUCUGAGGAUGAAAGCGGGGGACCGUAAGGCCCCGCGCGAUCGGAGCGGACGAUGUCAGAUUAGGUAGUUGGUGGGGUAAAGGCCUACCAAGCCGACGAUCUGUAGCUGGUCUGAGAGGACGACCAGCCACACUGGGGCUGAGACACGGCCCAGACUCCUACGGGAGGCAGCAGUGGGGAAUUUUGGACAAUGGGCGCAAGCCUGAUCCAGCAAUGCCGCGUGCAGGAAGAAGGCCUUCGGGUUGUAAACUGCUUUUGUACGGAGCGAAAAGGCUCUCUCUAAUACAGGGGGUUCAUGACGGUACCGUAAGAAUAAGCACCGGCUAACUACGUGCCAGCAGCCGCCGUAA